CUUUGAAACAGUUUCUGUUAGAAGGUCCAGAUUAUGAGCUUGCCCAGGGCUCUGCAGGCAGCCUUCCCCCGGGUGCAGGAACCCAGAUACUGAAAACCUCCUUAGCCUCUCUUUCUGGGGCCAAAUAAGCCAAGUUCGUUUCACUGGGUCUUGGAUGCUCUUUCCCCGCAACUUUUAAACUAUGCCUGUUGAUGUUCUCUCCAGUUUUGCUUCGCAGAGCUUUCCCGCGGUCCACACCGGAGAGAAUACUUCCUGAGAGGAAGGUCUGGCGGAAGAGCCAAGCUGACCACCCAGACAGAACACUGGACGCGCAUCCUGUGGCAACUGCCAUCUUUGUGGAAAGACUCCUUUCAUAUGGAGCGACGCUGGGGCAUUGUCAACAAGAGAGCUCCGAUUCGGGCUCCUGCACUGCAUUUAACUGUGAUGUCUCCCCAGGAUCUUCCCAUCUCUGAUGGUUCCACAGUCUUUGUCUCAUGACUUGGGACUGGUGAAGAGUACUUGGCAGGCAUGCUAUACAAUAUUCCUCAACUUGAGUUUGAUGUUUUUCAUUUGAUUAGACAGGUUAUGGAUUUGGGGAAAGAAUAUCACAGUGGUCAUAUGCCCUUCUCAUUUGGGGGUACAUGAUAUACCUGUGUUUUAUCACAGGUGACAGCAAUCUUGAUCAUCUGGCUAAGGUGGAAUCUACCAGGUUUCUGCAAAGUAAAG